rnacentral:lncRNA from 1 species
CAAUGGUAAGAGAGAAAUGGAAACGUGUUCUUGAACGAUACUCCUCCCUACAGCAGGUGAUGGUCAGAAUCAAGAUCGAAGUGAAGGUUUGGAAGCAGGCGCCAAGCAUUCAGGGAGCUUAUUUAGACCGCUUACUAAGAGACUGUCAGGAAUGGGUAGAAAUCGACUCAUUUUUUUUUCAUAGAAAUUCAAUAAACAAGUCCCAAGGACAUCAGGCAUACACUCCGUCACUCACCUCAUUCAGAAAAGAAGAGCUUUUAGCUUAGCGCAGACUUUAUUUGAGAGAUACACUCCAGGAAACGAUGCUGAGUGACAGGGCAGGAGCUCGAAAUCUGUUCAGCAGCGCGCAGACUUUGCACGGCACGGACUGCUGGGUGGAACCUUGAACAGAGGGCGCCCGACGAUGUAUGCCUUGUCGUCUUCCACGGCGCCGGUGGCGGAGACGCCGGCUCCGGUAACUGCCAUGGCACGCGCGUACGCACGUGUUAGCAGCUCACGGCGAGACAAACAUCAUAUGAUAGCUCAGGUGGCAGAGAACUCAUGAUGGAGGUCAGUUUAUUAGUACUCACCAACGCUUUUGUGCGGCCGCUCAGCAAUGGGAUCAUUUGCCAAGCGCGCGAGCACGUGCUCGUGGCAGCCGACGGUCAUGGCGGCGGCAAGGAGCAGAACGACGGCGAGCGCGAGGAGCGGCGUCCUGCUGGCGCCCAUUGCACGCAAGCUGUGUUGACGGAUAUGCGCUCGGCAAUGUUGCAACCACCCACGUACUCAAUGCUUUGUGCGACACUGGGUGUUUGAUGUACAUACGCCAAUUUAUUUGUAGGACGAUGGUCUGUCUGGCAGUCUUAUUAUUGGCGAGAAGAUUCAGAGGAGGCAGAUGAUCAUGGAGCUAUAGAUGAGAAGAGCACAUGCAUGGCUACCCAUGAAUCUUGCUCAACAUCGCCCAUUGUUCAAUCUAGAAGGGGAUU